AACGCGAAGAACCUUACCAAGGCUUGACAUGGAUACGACCAGUACAGAGAUGUACUCUCCCUUCGGGGUGUAUCACACAGGUGGUGCAUGGUUGUCGUCAGCUCGUGUCGUGAGAUGUUGGGUUAAGUCCCGCAACGAGCGCAACCCUUAUGUUCAGUUGCCAGCAGGUAGAGCUGGGCACACUGGAGAGACUGCCGUGGACAACACGGAGGAAGGUGGGGAUGACGUCAAAUCAUCAUGCCCCUUAUGAGCAGGGCUACACACGUGCUACAAUGGCGUAAACAAAGGGAAGCGAAAUCGUGAGGUGAAGCAAAUCCCAAAAAUAACGUCUCAGUUCGGAUUGUAGUCUGCAACUCGACUACAUGAAGCUGGAAUCGCUAGUAAUCGCAAAUCAGCAUGUUGCGGUGAAUACGUUCCCGGGUCUUGUACACACCG
rnacentral:rRNA from 1 species